rnacentral:misc_RNA from 1 species
UCCGGCUCAUAUCGGUGAAACCCUAACGAUCGGCUUUGCCGAGCUCGAGGGCAAUACCGAGGGAAGUGAACGACUGAGAUCGUCGGCGAUCGAUGACGUCGUUCACCCUGUAGAGACUGCAAUGGCAUCGCUUCUUGGGAGAGAUCCCAAAUCUAAGAGUGGUGCAAUACGCCGGCCCCGAUGGUCGAUACAUCGGGUGAAGGUAUAGUCCUGCCCCAAUCGAAAGAUGGGAUGACGCAGGUCGUCAGCUCGUGCCGUGAGGUGUUGGCUUAAGUGCCGCAACGAGCGCAACCCCUGCUCUUAGUUGCCAGCGGGUAAUGCCGGGGACUCUAAGGGGACCGCCGGGGACAACUCGGAGGAAGGUGGGGAUGACGUAGGAGGAAUUC